rnacentral:lncRNA from 1 species
UAUAUAAUCAUUUCUGUUAAUUCCAACAGAUGAAAGCUAAAUUACAACUUGACCACUCUUGUACCUAAUACCAACAACAUCAAAUCUGCUCUUUGUCAUCAAAUUUUGAACCUUAUUUUGAAUAUUAGUAUGACAGUGUGUUUUAUGGGAAUGUUCAGAAUGUCUCCUCUGCAAAGGAAAACACUAAAAAUCUGACUGAAAUUUCAGCUGUAUCAGAGACUUGAACUACAAAUGAGGAGGAGUAAACUGAAGAUUCACAGAUUCAGUUGGAUGUUAAGAACCCAAACAAGGAGUUUAUGGUGGGAAGUGAAGAGCUCUAUUACUCCCUAAAGAAUUCUCAUAGGCAGCCAUUGAAUACUUUUGCUUCUAAAACCCCAAGUGUAAGAAUGCAAAAUUUAGGUUUUAUGCUAAUAUGAGAACCCUAUAGUAAUAUUGUGGUCACCUAUUUAAAAUAUUAUAGCUCAAGUCAAAAUGACUUUUAGUAGUGUUUAUUUACAAAGAGGUAGAAAGAGUGGAAGUAAAGAAAUGUAAGAAGAGGGUAGAGAAUAUGUCUAGCCAACACACUAAAUGUUGCUCCAAUGUCUGGCUCAGCCCCAGCAGGGCUAAUUAACCCUCAAUUAAAGGACCCAGUGAUGCAAGGGUUCCACCUAAGCAGCCUCCUCCAGGACAGCAAAGCCUCUCCAGAACUAAUCUCUCCAGAAAUGAGGAAAGGAAGGCCAGCUACUCACUCACCCAAGAUGAAGUCCAAAGGAGAAUAUCCAAGAGCAGUCCUUCAAGAAGCAGUCGAAGAACCAAACUCAAGAUCUAAGCCAAAGGCUUGGGGACUGAAGUCACAUUAA